rnacentral:rRNA from 1 species
CCUACGGGGGGCAGCAGUGGGGAAUAUUGGACAAUGGGGGGAACCCUGAUCCAGCCAUGCCGCGUGUGUGAAGAAGGCCCUCGGGUUGUAAAGCACUUUCAGUGAGGAAGAACGCCUGGUGGUUAAUACCCAUCAGGAAAGACAUCACUCACAGAAGAAGCACCGGCUAACUCCGUGCCAGCAGCCGCGGUAAUACGGAGGGUGCGAGCGUUAAUCGGAAUUACUGGGCGUAAAGCGCGCGUAGGUGGCUUGAUAAGCCGGUUGUGAAAGCCCCGGGCUCAACCUGGGAACGGCAUCCGGAACUGUCAAGCUAGAGUGCAGGAGAGGAAGGUAGAAUUCCCGGUGUAGCGGUGAAAUGCGUAGAGAUCGGGAGGAAUACCAGUGGCGAAGGCGGCCUUCUGGACAGACACUGACACUGAGGUGCGAAAGCGUGGGUAGCAAACAGGAUUAGAUACCCCGGUAGUC